GCAGUAUUACAGUACUACUAGUACCGUCUGCAUUCUGUUUGCUGCAUUUUUUUUUUGUUUUCAGGAUGGGGUCAUAUACGGGCGUGGUUCCUCAGCAAUGUCGGAGCUGGCGAGCUCGUCCUUCGGCGUGCCGCCAGAUCCGUUUGAGCCGUGCACGAUUCAUGCGUGCUUUUGGUGUUUCUAUUAGGGGAUUCAUUUUCUUGGCCCGGAACUCUAGAUUGGGCGACCUAGGGUUUCGUAUUGGAGGAGACAGAUUCAACGUAGCCCUCAAAUGUCUUACACUGAACCUAGAGGAAUAAGUCUGGGCGAGAUGGAUAUUCCAUCUUGUUCUAGCAAGCUUGAAUCAUUCUAGGGUGCAUGAGGAAUUUCUGGUGGAUGUGCGCUCCUCAACUUCCACCGGCAAAUUUUAGUUGUACUUGUACAUCUUGGCACAUCUUACACGAAUUUUUAAUUGCAACUUUUUUUAGUCACCAGCUUUUCCAUGUGGAGAUUUUCAGAUAGUGUCUUAGGUGGCCUUGGCUGUGAGGAUCGUGCAAGUUUGACUUUUUAGGAUCCUUUUUUUACAUAUUGUGUGGCUGGUCGAUACGCAGUUGAGAUCUGGUGAUCUUUGUCAACACUUCUUGGGCAUCAGCUGGAAUUUCCGUGCGGAUA